CCAGACUCCUAGGGAGGCAGCAGUGGGGAAUAUUGCACAAUAGGCGCAAGCCUGAUGCAGCCAUGCCGCGUGUAUGAAGAAGGCCUUCGGGUUGUAAAGGACUUUCAGCGGGGAGGAAGGCGAUAAGGUUAAUAACCUUGUCGAUUGACGUUACCCGCAGAAGAAGCACCGGCUAACUCCGUGCCAGCAGCCGCGGUAAUACGGAGGGUGCAAGCGUUAAUCGGAAUUACUGGGCGUAAAGCGCACGCAGGCGGUCUGUCAAGUCGUAUGUGAAAUCCCCGGGCUCAACCUGGGAACUGCAUUCGAAACUGGCAGGCUGGAGUCUUGUAGAGGGGGGUAGAAUUCCAGGUGUAGCGGUGAAGUGCGUAGAGAUCUGGAGGAAUACCGGUGGCGAGGGCGGCCCCCUGGACAAAGACUGAGGCUAAGGUGCGAAAGCGUGGUGAGCAAACAGGAUUAGAUACCCGAGUAG
rnacentral:rRNA from 1 species